GACCGCGUAGCUCAGUUGGCAGAGUAUUGGGCUAGUAUUCCAAAGGUCGUAGGUUCGAUUCCCACCGUGGCCA
rnacentral:tRNA from 1 species